AUCCACCUUAUUCUCCCGACCUUGCUCUUUCAGACAACCAUUUGUUUCGUAGAUUACAGAAUCACUUGGGGGACAUAACUUUCAAAAAAGACAGG